UGGGGAAUAUUGCACAAUGGGCGGAAGCCUGAUGCAGCGACGCCGCGUGAGGGAUGACGGCCUUCGGGUUGUAAACCUCUUUCAGCAGGGACGAAGCGAGAGUGACGGUACCUGCAGAAGAAGCGCCGGCCAACUACGUGCCAGCAGCCGCGGUAAGACGUAGGGCGCGAGCGUUGUCCGGAUUUAUUGGGCGUAAAGAGCUCGUAGGCGGCUUGUCGCGUCGAAUGUGAAAUCUCAGGGCUCAACUCUGACAUUGCAUUCGAUACGGGCAGGCUAGAGUUCGGUAGGGGAGACUGGAAUUCCUGGUGUAGCGGUGAAAUGCGCAGAUAUCAGGAGGAACACCGGUGGCGAAGGCGGGUCUCUGGGCCGAUACUGACGCUGAGGAGCGAAAGCGUGGGGAGCGAACAG
rnacentral:rRNA from 1 species